rnacentral:rRNA from 1 species
GAUGAACGCUGGCGGCGUGCCUAAUACAUGCAAGUCGAGCGAACGGACGAGAAGCUUGCUUUUCUGAUGUUAGCGGCGGACGGGUGAGUAACACGUGGAUAACCUACCUAUAAGACUGGGAUAACUUCGGGAAACCGGAGCUAAUACCGGAUAAUAUUUUGAACCGCAUGGUUCAAAAGUGAAAGACGGUCUUGCUGUCACUUAUAGAUGGAUCCGCGCUGCAUUAGCUAGUUGGUAAGGUAACGGCUUACCAAGGCAACGAUGCAUAGCCGACCUGAGAGGGUGUCGGCCACACUGGAACUGAGACACGGUCCAGACUCCUACGGGAGGCAGCAGUAGGGAAUCUUCCGCAAUGGGCGAAAGCCUGACGGAGCAACGCCGCGUGAGUGAUGAAGGUCUUCGGAUCGUAAAACUCUGUUAUUAGGGAAGAACAUAUGUGUAAGUAACUGUGCACAUCUUGACGGUACCUAAUCAGAAAGCCACGGCUAACUACGUG